rnacentral:rRNA from 1 species
GCCAGGGUAUUACGAGCCUAAGCUUAAAACCCAAAGGACUUGACGGUGUCCCACCCACCUAGAGGAGCCUGUUCUGUAAUCGAUACCCCCCGNAAACCUCACCAUUUUAGUAGCUAGUUUGUAUAUCGCCGUCGUAAGUUUACCCUGUGAACGUCCUAGUAAGCGAAAUGAUCUAAACAUCAAGACGUCAGGUCAAGGUGCAGCUUAUGGAAUGGGAAGAGAUGGGCUACAAUUUCUAAAGUAGAACAAACGAAAGACUGCAUGAAACACAGUACCGAAGGCGGAUUUAGAAGUAAAAAGAAAAUAGAGUGUUCUUUUUAACCGGGCUCUGGGAUGCGUACACACCGCCCGU